rnacentral:rRNA from 1 species
UCGAUUAGAGUUUGAUUAUGGCUCAGAUUGAACGCUGGCGGCAGGCUUAACACAUGCAAGUCGAGCGGGGAAGGGUAGCUUGCUACCUGACCUAGCGGCGGACGGGUGAGUAAUGCUUAGGAAUCUGCCUAUUAGUGGGGGACAACAUUCCGAAAGGAAUGCUAAUACCGCAUACGCCCUACGGGGGAAAGCAGGGGAUCUUCGGACCUUGCGCUAAUAGAUGAGCCUAAGUCAGAUUAGCUAGUUGGUGGGGUAAAGGCCUACCAAGGCGACGAUCUGUAGCGGGUCUGAGAGGAUGAUCCGCCACACUGGGACUGAGACACGGCCCAGACUCCUACGGGAGGCAGCAGUGGGGGAUAUUGGACAAUGGGCGAAAGCCUGAUCCAGCCAUGCCGCGUGUGUGAAGAAGGCCUUUUGGUUGUAAAGCACUUUAAGCGAGGAGGAGGCUACCGAGAUUAAUACUCUUGGAUAGUGGACGUUACUCGCAGAAUAAGCACCGGCUAACUCUGUGCCAGCAGCCGCGGUAAUACAGAGGGUGCGAGCGUUAAUCGGAUUUACUGGGCGUAAAGCGUGCGUAGGCGGCUUUUUAAGUCGGAUGUGAAAUCCCUGAGCUUAACUUAGGAAUUGCAUUCGAUACUGGGAAGCUAGAGUAUGGGAGAGGAUGGUAGAAUUCCAGGUGUAGCGGUGAAAUGCGUAGAGAUCUGGAGGAAUACCGAUGGCGAAGGCAGCCAUCUGGCCCUAUACUGACGCUGAAGUACGAAAGCAUGGGGAGCAAACAGGAUUAGAUACCCUGGUAGUCCAUGCCGUAAACGAUGUCUACUAGCCCGUGGGGGCUUUGAGGCUUUAGUGGGCGCACUAACGCGAUAAGCAG